CCCUUAGACGUUCUGGGCCGCACGCGCGCUACACUGACCGGUGCAACAAGCAUCCGUCCUUGGCCGACAGGCCCGGGCAAUCUUUGAACGCCGGUCGUGAUGGGGAUAGACUUUUGCAAUUUUUGGUCUUCAACGAGGAAUUCCUAGUAAACGCAAGUCAUCAUCUUGCAUUGAUUACGUCCCUGCCCUUUGUACACACCGCCCGUCGCACCUACCGAUUGAAUGGUCCGGUGAAAUCUCGGGACGGCGGCUUGGUCGCUUGCGUCCGACUGCUGAAACUUGAUUAAACCAUAUCAUUUAGAGGAAGGUGAAGUCGUAACA
rnacentral:rRNA from 1 species